AAGGACUGUCUAUAGUUUGAACUAUAAAAGUACGCGAUAACUGGUGCUGAGCGAAAUGGCAUCACUGCAGCGAUUGCCUUCCCUCUCUCGCAUUGAACUGUCAUUCAGAUAAACAAAAACGAGAGAAGUGAAUGGAUUAAACAAUUUGCUUGACUAACAGAAAUUCGAGGAAUAAAAUAAUGGGUUGAUUUUAAGGAUAAUAGUACCAUGUACUAUUCCUACGCAAUAGUCCGGAAUAAGUUCCAGUUGUGUUUCCUUGUGUAUAGAACCCGCGAUUAAGUGUGUGUCAAUAGCAACUUGAGCACGCCCCAGUUGUGGAAAAGCUUCUGUUGCUAUGGCUCCAAUUACCGAACCUCAAAUUUGCCGGAGUAGAACCCGUAUCUGUAUUCAACGAUUGUAUUAAACACACUCUUCGCUAAUGCUAUCAACAUCCAGGAUAUGAACAGGAAUAAAUAGGAAUGUUCAGGUAAAACUCACUUGCACAAUUUAUAAUAAUCAAUACAUUUAUGUCUACAUUUACUUUUUAGUGAAAAUUUGAUUCAUCCACACCGGUGAACCAAAAUGUUCUCUCUAAACGGUGUAGCAUAUAAUUUGUUCAAAAGAAAAUUUUUGUUCGCUCAUUAUAUAGUGCUUUUAUCUAUUAUAACUGUAGUACAGCCUUGUAUUAGUAUUGAUGUAAAUAAACCAGCAUUGUAAAUAAAUUAAAU